GGCGGGGUAGCUCAGUUGGUUAGAGCAUACGGCUCAUACCCGUAGUGUCGGCAGUUCGAUUCUGCCCCCCGCUACCA
rnacentral:tRNA from 1 species